GUCGGCUGUGCACCAAAGCGCGUAGACACCGCAAAAAUAGCGUUGGAGCGUCCCCUUCGUUUCUAUCCUCGUUUUCCUCCCUCUUCCUCAGAUCCGGUGCGCUCUCCCUCCGCCCGUACGCCGGCACGCGAGCGCGACGCACAACGCGCGCUCCUCCUCUCUCCCGCGUGCGCCGAUCUCCCGCGCGCGCCUCCGCUCCUCCCUCGCGCGCGCCAAAAACUUCCCUGACGCCCGCGCAAAUAGCCGCUCUCCCUCCCCUAGCGCUUGCAUCUGCUCCAGGUGCCAUGGCAUCUCCGCCCCGCCUGCACUUUCCUGCGCGGCAAAGGCCAAAUUUCCCCUCCAAUCUCGCGCGCAAAUCGUUUCCCGCUAUAAUUCCCCGCGUAUAUGAUGAGAGGUGCGCUCCAAUUUCUAUGUUUCCUGGCUCGAUUCCAUCUCCCCCCAUCUCAUAGCGCCAGCCACCUCCAGCCCUAGCCCCAAAUCAAUCCGUAAUCCCUCCCCUGGAGAGCGAAAUCGAGUUCGAGAUGGAUCCAUCAGAGAGGCAACGUUCACAGCAAAAGAAAUCAAGAAAGCCCCUUUCGAGCUCAAGGACAUCCACCGGUGCUCCUGCCACUGCUUCUGCGCGUGCUGGUGUUCCACCCAGUGGUCUGGGCGCAGCGUCUGGGACCUUUACCGGCGGUUCAGGUGCUGCGCCUCCAAGCUUUGGUGGUGGAACCAGCGCCCAUCAAGCUCCAACUGCAUUUUUGGGAGGGAUGUCUCCUGGCGGAUCGUUCAUGCCUGAUUCAAGUCCUAGCAGCUCUGAAUGCGGGAUGUGAAGUUGCACUAAACUGGAGUUGCUGUGCGCAUGGAGUUCAUGUGAAGUUCUGGGCACAUGAGGCUGGACUACUAUGUGAUAGUUGUUUUGCACUUAAUAUUGCUAUAUAUUAUGGUUAAAUAUUACUUAAAUGUAUGCUACCGAAUUUGUCAUGGUUAUUACGUAUCUGGACCUAAUUUAGUUUACUAUUAGGAUGGGCACCUACUUUAUAUAUUUAAAUUGAUAUGUCUUUGCAUUGAAGUUAUGGUUAGAUUGAUAUAAUCUACAGAUACUUUGCUACUAAAA